rnacentral:rRNA from 1 species
GACGAACGCUGGCGGCGUGCUUAACACAUGCAAGUCGAACGGAAAGGCCCCUUUGGGGGUACUCGAGUGGCGAACGGGUGAGUAACACGUGAGUAACCUGCCCUUGACUUCGGGAUAACUUCAGGAAACUGGGGCUAAUACCGGAUAGGAAUCCUUGCUGCAUGGUGGGGGUUGGAAAGCUUCGGCGGUUUUGGAUGGACUCGCGGCUUAUCAGCUUGUUGGUGGGGUAGUGGCUUACCAAGGCUUUGACGGGUAGCUGGCCUGAGAGGGCGACCGGCCACAUUGGGACUGAGAUACGGCCCAGACUCCUACGGGAGGCAGCAGUGGGGAAUAUUGCACAAUGGGCGGAAGCCUGAUGCAGCAACGCCGCGUGCGGGAUGACGGCCUUCGGGUUGUAAACCGCUUUCAGCAGGGGCGAAGCUUGUGGUGACGGUACCUGCAGAAGAAGCACCGGCUAACUACGUG